rnacentral:tRNA from 1 species
UGGGGCGUCGCCAAGUGCUAAGGAAAGGGACUUUGACUCCCUCAUCCGCUGUUUCGAGUCCAGCCGUCCCAGCCA